AUUGAACGCUGGCGGCAGGCCUAACACAUGCAAGUCGAACGAGUGGCGGACGGGUGAGUAAUGUAUGGGAAACUGCCUGAUGGAGGGGGAUAACUACUGGAAACGGUAGCUAAUACCGCAUACCAUCGGAUGUGCCCAUAUGGGAUUAGCUUGUAGGUGGGGUAAAGGCUCACCUAGGCGACGAUCCCUAGCUGGUCUGAGAGGAUGACCAGCCACACUGGUACUGAGACACGGUCCAGACUCCUACGGGAGGCAGCAGUGGGGAAUAUUGCACAAUGGGCGCAAGCCUGAUGCAGCCAUGCCGCGUGUAUGAAGAAGGCCUUCGGGUUGUAAAGUACUUUCAGCCGGGAGGCGUUACCCGCAUAAGAAGCACCGGCUAACUCCGUGCCAGCAGCCGCGGUAAUUC
rnacentral:rRNA from 1 species